rnacentral:rRNA from 1 species
AUGAGCCCAGGAGAGGUUCGCUCGGCCUGGGUGCCGCCGCAGGAGGGUUUUGUUAAAAUAAAUGCCGAUGGGGGUAUUUCCUUAGAUCACAAUGUGGGCACUGCUGCUGCUAUUUGCCGUGAUCGGGAAGGCAAUUAUUUGGGAUCCUCUAUUCUGGUUGUGCAAGGAGCCACGGAUCCAUCUACAGUCGAAGCUUUGGCGUGUCGAGAAGCUCAAGCAUUGGCAAGGGAUUUGAGUUUGCAAAGUAUUCAGGUGGCGUCAGAUUGUAAACAAGUCAUCUUACACAUCAAGCAAGGAGUUGGAGGCAAUUAUGCAAGCAUAAUUAGAGAGGUGACAGAAACUACUAGUUCUUUCAUGGCUUGUAAUUUUGUUUUUGAACCAAGAACUUCAAAUUUUGAAGCUCAUAGGUUAGCUAGGUAUGGUGUUUCCCUUCCCCUGGGGAGACAUAUAUGGUUAGGGCAUCCCCAUGAUGCUAAUAUUAUCCCUGUAAACAUUCUAACCAUGCAAUAA